GUUAUAUACAUCAAAAUGUUAUCAUGUAAGAUCUUGUUAAAUUGGUCUCGUUAUGCAUUUUCAAACUAUUAUAUUUUUAUAAUUUUUUCAUAUAUGGAAAUGGAUAUAUAAGUCGUUAAAUAUUGCAUUGGAGUCCGUGCAAAUAGUAAGCGUAAAGAACAUUAAGGAACAAAGGUAGUAUUAAAUAAAUAAAUUAUACAAGUACACACGGAUGCUAAUUCUAAAAUUAAGGGCCAUUAGUUAUCUCUUUAUAUGUACUACUCCCUCUGUCCCUUAAUACUCGCACCGUUUUGACUUUUUACACUAUUCACAUAAUUCACUUUGACCCUAUAUUAUUUCUAUUAUAUGAAAACAAAUGUUAGUAUAUAAUAUAUUGUUGGCUUCAUCUUAAUAUAUAUUUUCAAAAUAUUAAUAUUUUUAUAAGUUUUAUAAUAUGUAGUUAAAGAUAUUGGUGGUCAGUCAAAACGGUGCGAGUAUUAAGGGACGGAGGGAGUAGAUUUUAGCCUGUGCGAUGCACGUUUUUCAUUAAAUUGUUACAUUAAAAUAAAAUUCCUAUGUACAACUGCUAUAAUUUAUAUAUUAGAUUAUUGGUUUUUUUUUUGGAUUGAAUUUCAUUUUAGAUUUAUUUUUUAAUUAUUAUAGUGUUUGAUUUUGGAUGAAAUUGUAUAUAAGAAAUAUUAAUUAAUUAAUAAAAGUAUUACAUAGCACCUAAUUAUUUAUCUACGUGGCAUUCGACUUUUUUAAUUCAAAAAUAAUUUUGAUGUCUUAUUUUUCAUUGGCCGAAACCAUUAGAUUUCCUACGUGGCGCUCUAAUAUUGGAUUAAUGUUUGAUUUUUGAUUGAAUUUUAUUUUAGUGUUUGAUUAUGGAUGAAUUUUAUUUUAGAUUUAUUUUUAAUUAUUAGAGCGUUUGAUUUUGGAUGGAAUUGUAUAUAUUAGUAAUUAAUUAAUUAAUUUAAAUAUCUAUGUGGCACCUAAUUAAUUAUCUACAUGGCACUCGAUUUUUUUAAUUCAAAAAUAAAUUAGAAAUCUUAUUUUUCAUUGGCCAAAACCAUUAGUAAUCAUAGAUGGCGCUCUAAUCGUUCAGCAAAUAUGCCUCCUAAUAAGCCAAUUAUGUUGAAGUACAGGUCUAAAUCAAAGUUCUACUACAUUUUUAGAUGGAGAAUGUUUGUGAACUUGAAAAAUGGUCUAAAUCAAAUUACCUUUUAAUUCUUUCAUGUUUUGGAAUUUUCUUAAUGGUAAACUCAUGUAUUCUGCCCUCCCCUUUUAGAGAGCAUAUGUUAUUCGAAUAAAAAUAGUUCAUUGGUCCUUGACACUAUGAGUCUAUGAGUAAAUAUGUACAUGAGAUGUCUUUGGACAAAUUACUCUAUCUUUCAUUUCAGACCCCCCCACUAAUGCAAGGGAGUAAGGGAGACUCGCCGUAAAGACAGUGUGUCCUAUUUUGUCUUCGUAAAGUCUUUCUGAAUUGAACUAUCCCGAUUAUCCCCAAGCUUUUAUUGCACAUAAUUUUCCCCAAUGUUCGAUAUUCUAUUUGGAUCGAUGGAAAACUUAAGCUCGUACGGGAUCCUUACCGAGUUCUUGAAAGGAAUUCAACAAUCCGAGGGAGCAGACUUUCACCAUUGAGGAGAUAAAUGAAGUUCGAGAACAGUUUGACAAACUUCAUUACCAGUGAUUGUCUUUGAUAUUUUCUUGUAGUGAAUCUUACUUAGAUUAUGGAUGUUAGUUUUCAUAUGAUUGUAAUGUAAACGACUUUAUAUUUGCAAUUUUAUACUAAUUAAUUUAGUUAUCUAUAUAAUUUAAUACUUUUUUAUG